rnacentral:rRNA from 1 species
UACGUAGGUUCCGAGCGUUAUCCGGAUUUACUGGGCGUAAAGCGCGUUCAGGCGGUUUGGCAAGUCGGGCAUGAAAUCUCUCGGCUCAACCGGGAGAGGUUGUCCGAUACUGCUGGACUUGAGGGCAGUAGAGGGUGGUGGAAUUCCGGGUGUAGUGGUGAAAUGCGUAGAUAUCUGGAGGAACACCGGUGGCGAAGGCGGCAUCCUGGACCGGCAUUGACGCUGAUGUGCGAAAGCGUGGGGAGCAAACAGG